GACAGAGGUGGCAAGCGUUGUCCGGAAUUACUGGGCGUAAAGAGCGUGUAGGCGGCCAGACAAGUCUGCUGUGAAAACUCGAGGCUCAACCUCGAGCUGUCGGUGGAAACUGUCUGGCUAGAGUCCGGAAGAGGAGAGUGGAAUUCCUGGUGUAGCGGUGAAAUGCGCAGAUAUCAGGAAGAACACCUAUGGCGAAGGCAGCUCUCUGGGACGGUACUGACGCUGAGACGCGAAAGCGUGGGGAGCGAACAGG
rnacentral:rRNA from 1 species